rnacentral:lncRNA from 1 species
AGAGAGGAUGCACACUCUGAAGAGGGCAGGCAGCUUCUGCACCGAGGGAGCAAAGGGGCGUGUCAGGGGCAGCUGCUGGAAGGAGGCGCAAGCACCACGGAGAGUCUGGGAUGCCCAGCCAAGGAGCCCUGGAAGGGUUGCCCUGGGGACUGACACUGUGGGCUCUGUGUUUUAGCCAAGUCACCCAGGCAGCUGAACAGAAGAUGGACUGGAGGGAGAAGCCUGGAUGAUCGCUCAGCAACAAAGGAGCCAGAAAAGGCAAGGUGUACACACCGUGUGCAGCAUGGGCGAGCUGCAGGCAUGCAGAACUUCUGAGUCCUAACCAUGGCUGGUGGCUCUUCCAGGAACAUGGUUUCCUGGACCCAAAAGAUGAGGAAACUGAGGCUUGGAGAGGCUCUCUGCCUUUGUCAACCUGGAGAUGCUGGGAAGGAAGUGAGGCCCAUCCCACCUCAGAUGCCUGUCCUCUGUCGUCAGGAGCAUUCUCUUGUUCUUCCGGGCUUGGCCAAGCGGUGGUAAACCCCACAUGUGGUUCUGUGGUUGCCCACACAGUCCUAAAAAUAGCCAACAGGAACCCAGGGGCUCCCCCUUGGUGAGUGGCAGCAGGCCCAGUCCUCAGGCAGCCACCAACCUGCUCACUCCCCACAGGCAAGCAGGUCCUGUCUAGGAAGGGGCUGGGUGGCCUGGGUCCCAUGCAUGAUGAGCCAGAGGCUGUGCCAAGCUUAUAGCAAAUAUUAUUUUAUUUCAUUAUGUUUUCUUACAUCUGUGAUGUGGAGGCCAUAGCUCCACUGGACUCAUGAGGAGACUGAGGCUCAGAGCAAUGAAGUGACCUGCUCAAAGUUAAGGAGCUUCAGUUUGGACCCAAUUUGUUCUGAUCCUAAGGUCACUAUCCUUAAUCCCUCUCCCUGUGGGGUCUUCCCUAUCUUGAGCCUGUGGACAGCUGUGCAGUGGCAAGAAAAAGGCCUUCAGAGCUACGCAGACCUGGCUUCAAAUCCCAGCCUCCCUGAUGAGCCCUGGUGGUCUUGGAGCUGUAACGCUCACUGCGAAGAUCUGCAGCUUCACUCCUGAGCCCAGCGAGACCGUGAACCCACCGGGAGGAACGAACAACUCCAGACCCGCUGCCUUAAGAGCUGUAACACUCACUGCGAAGGUCUGCAGCUUCACUCCUGAGCCAGCGAGACCACGAACCCACCCGAAGGAAGAAACUCCGAACACAUCUGAACAUCAGAAGGGAUAGACUCCAGAUGCGCCACCUUAAGAGCUGUAACACUCACCGCGAGGGUCCGCAGCUUCAUUCUUGAAGUCAAUGAGACCAAGAACCCACCAAUUCCGGACACAAAAUGACACAGUCCCUGCCCACAUGGAGCUGACAUUCUCAUGGAGAGAAAGGGACAAAUAAACAAAUGUACAAUACUCCAAGUAGUCAUAGUGCUGUGAAGAAAAUAAAGUGAUACAAGGGAACUAUGAGAACCUUGGGAAUGGGGGCGCUGUUUUAAACAGGCCCAUUUGGAAGUUUCUCUUUCCUUUGAGCCAAGUCCUGAAGGAAAUGAGAGAGGGAUAUGGGGGGAAGAAUGUUCCAGGCAGAGAGAUCAGCCAGUGCAAAGGCCCUGAGGCAGGAGUGUGCCCCAAGGGGUGUAGGAACAGUGUGGAGCUGGUAGGGCUGUGGCAGAGUGAGGGUGAGAGAGAAAGGAAGGGGGUGAUGGGCCUGGGGGGCAGACCAUGCUGAGCAGCGGCUUUUAAUUUUUAUUGAUUACAUCUUCCAUAAGAAAUCAGUUUUAUAUGGCAAUCCAAGACAGAUAUCCACAUAUAAACAUACAACUGAGAUAAACUAUAUGUGUGCACUCUGAUAUAUUUUAUUUUAUUUUAUUCUGUUUCAUUAAAAAAUAACAUGAGUAAUGAUCUUCAAA